rnacentral:rRNA from 1 species
UCGUACGGGAGGCAGCAGUGAGGAAUAUUGGGCAAUGGAGGCAACUCUGACCCAGCCAUGCCGCGUGCAGGAAGACUGCCCUAUGGGUUGUAAACUGCUUUUAUACAGGAAGAAACACUCCCUCGUGAGGGAGCUUGACGGUACUGUAAGAAUAAGGAUCGGCUAACUCCAUGCCAGCACCCGCGGUAAUA